GAUAGCUGGUUCUCCCCGAAAUAGCUUUAGGGCUAGCGUCGGAAAGAACCUUAGUGAAGGUAGAGCACUGAAUGUGUGAUGGCCCCAUCCCGGGGUACUGAAUACAAUCAAACUGCGAAUGUCAUUAAGGAUGUCCGGCAGUCAGACUGUGAGUGAUAAGGUCCAUGGUCAAGAGGGAAACAGCCCAGACCGCCAGUUAAGGUCCCAAAAUACAGGCUAAGUGGAAAAGGAUGUGGGGAUGCCCAGACAACUAGGAGGUUGGCUCAGAAGCAGCCAUCCUUUAAAGAGUGCGUAACAGCUCACUAGUCGAGUGACCCUGCGCCGAAAAUGUACCGGGGCUAAGCCUGAUACCGAAACUGCGGAUUGUAGGAAACUAUAGUGGUAGGGGAGCGUUGUAUACGAGUAGAAGCCGUACCGUGAGGAGCGGUGGAUUGUAUAGAAGUGAGAAUGCCGGUGUGAGUAGCGAGAUGUAGGUGAGAAUCCUACACACCGAAAGCCCAAGGAUUCCAGGGGAAGGUUCGUCCGCCCUGGGUAAGUCGGGACCUAACGCGAGGCCGAAAGGCGUAGUGGAUGGAAAGCAGGCGAAAGAUUCCUGCACCCGUAUAUGGAGCGAAGGAGUGACGGAGACGGAUAGUGUGACCCUCUUAAUGGAUUGAGGGCGAAGCGAAGCGGCUGGUUACCAGGCAAAUCCGGUAACCAUAAGGCUAGAGCGUGAGAGGUAAGCGAAAUCUUAGGAAAGUAGCGAAGCACAUGAUGACGGCUUCCAGGAAAAGCUUCUGGCAAUGCAUAUGCGGCCCGUACCAAAACCGACACAGGUGGGCAGGGAGAGAAUCCCGAGGUGAGCGAGAGAACUGUUGCCAAGGAACUCGGCAAAAUGACUCCGUAAGUUAGCGAGAAGGAGUGCUUAAGCAAUUAAGCCGCAGUGAAGAGGCCCAAGCGACUGUUUAACUAAAACACAGCUCUCUGCGAAGUCGCAAGACGAAGUAUAGGGGGUGACACCUGCCCGGUGCUGGAAGGUUAAGAGGAUCUGUUAAGAGCGAUCUGAAGCAGUGAUCCGAAGCCCCAGUGAACGGCGGCCGUAACUAUAACGGUCCUAAGGUAGCGAAAUUCCUUGUCAGGUAAGUUCUGACCCGCACGAAAGGUGUAACGAUUUGGGCGCUGUCUCGGCAGCAGACUCGGUGAAAUCUUAGUACCUGUGAAAAUGCAGGUUACCCGCAACUAGACGGAAAGACCCCAUGGAGCUUUACUGCAGCCUGAUAUUGAAUUCUGGUCAUACAUGUACAGGAUAGGUGGGAGACAAAGAGACGUGCACGCCAGUGUACGAGGAGUCGACGUUGGGAUACCACUCUUGUGUGACCGGGGUUCUAACCUGGUAUCGAGAACAGGUACGGGGAGAGUGUCAGGUGGGCAGUUUGACUGGGGCGGUCGCCUCCCAAAGAGUAACGGAGGCGCCCAAAGGUACGCUCAGAUUGGAUGGAAACCAAUCGACGAGUGCAAUUGCAGAAGCGUGCUUGACUGUGAGACUUACAAGUCGAACAGGGACGAAAGUCGGGAAUAGUGAUCCGGCGGUGCCGAAUGGAAGGGCCGUCGCUCAACGGAUAAAAGCUACCCU
rnacentral:rRNA from 1 species